rnacentral:rRNA from 1 species
AACGAACGCUGUCGGCAGGCCUAACACAUGCAAGUCGAACGCCCCGCAAGGGGAGUGGCAGACGGGUGAGUAACACGUGGGAACCUUCCCUAUAGUACGGAAUAGCCCAGGGAAACUUGGAGUAAUACCGUAUACGCCCGAAAGGGGAAAGAAUUUCGCUAUAGGAUGGGCCCGCGUAGGAUUAGCUAGUUGGUGAGGUAAUGGCUCACCAAGGCGACGAUCCUUAGCUGGUUUGAGAGAACGACCAGCCACACUGGGACUGAGACACGGCCCAGACUCCUACGGGAGGCAGCAGUGGGGAAUAUUGGACAAUGGGCGCAAGCCUGAUCCAGCCAUGCCGCGUGAGUGAUGAAGGCCUUAGGGUUGUAAAGCUCUUUUGGCGGGGACGAUAAUGACGGUACCCGCAGAAUAAGUCCCGGCUAACUUCGU